AUUGAACGCUGGCGGCAGGCCUAACACAUGCAAGUCGAGCGGAUGAAGGGAGCUUGCUCCUGGAUUCAGCGGCGGACGGGUGAGUAAUGCCUAGGAAUCUGCCUGGUAGUGGGGGAUAACGUCCGGAAACGGGCGCUAAUACCGCAUACGUCCUGAGGGAGAAAGUGGGGGAUCUUCGGACCUCACGCUAUCAGAUGAGCCUAGGUCGGAUUAGCUAGUUGGUGGGGUAAAGGCCUACCAAGGCGACGAUCCGUAACUGGUCUGAGAGGAUGACCAGUCACACUGGAACUGAGACACGGUCCAGACUCCUACGGGAGGCAGCAGUGGGGAAUAUUGGACAAUGGGCGAAAGCCUGAUCCAGCCAUGCCGCGUGUGAAGAAGGUCUUCGGAUUGUAAAGCACUUUAAGUUGGGAGGAAGGGCAGUAAGUUAAUACCUUGCUGUUUUGACGUUACCAACAGAAUAAGCACCGGCUAACUUCGUG
rnacentral:rRNA from 1 species